GUAUCAGGGCUUGCCGUCGGUCUAGUUCGGCAGUUUGAAAAUGAACAAACUACUGAACAGAGUCAGUAGUCUUACCCUGGAGCUUGUUCCCCUCAUCCAGGCGAAUGAUUUCACCCAACAGUGCCCUUCUAAGUUGCAUAGAACCGAACGUAUAGCUUCGGGAGAAGGCUCAAUUUAUUUGUAUUGUUCGGGAGUUUAUUUCCACUGAACGCUGUUCGAUUCCCAUUCGAAUUGCUG